rnacentral:rRNA from 1 species
UACGUAGGGGGCGAGCGUUGUCCGGAUUUACUGGGCGUAAAGAGCGCGCAGGCGGUCGUGCAAGUCGCGUGUGAAAGCCCCCCGGCUCAACUGGGGAGGGUCACGCGAUACUGCUCGACUUGAAGGCAGGAGAGGGAAGUGGAAUUCCCGGUGUAGUGGUGAAAUGCGUAGAUAUCGGGAGGAACACCAGUGGCGAAGGCGACUUCCUGGCCUGUUCUUGACGCUGAGGCGCGAAAGCUAGGGUAGCAAACGGG